CAGUCGCCGCGGUAACACGAAGGGUGCAAGCGUUAAUCGGAAUUACUGGGCGUAAAGCGUGCGUAGGCGGUGAGUUAAGUCUGCUGUGAAAUCCCCGGGCUCAACCUGGGAAUGGCAGUGGAUACUGGCUCGCUAGAGUGUGUCAGAGGAUGGUGGAAUUCCCGGUGUAGCGGUGAAAUGCGUAGAGAUCGGGAGGAACAUCAGUGGCGAAGGCGGCCAUCUGGGACAACACUGACGCUGAGGCACGAAAGCGUGGGGAGCAAACAGGAUUAGAGACCCCGGUAGUCCCUGUCUCUUAUAC
rnacentral:rRNA from 1 species